rnacentral:rRNA from 1 species
UACAGAGGUCUCAAGCGUUGUUCGGAUUCAUUGGGCGUAAAGGGUGCGUAGGCGGCGCUGUAAGUCGGGUGUGAAAUCCUGAGGCUUAACCUCGGAACUGCAUUCGAUACUGCGGCGCUUGAGGACUGGAGAGGAGACUGGAAUUCAUGGUGUAGCAGUGAAAUGCGUAGAGAUCAUGAGGAAGACCAGUGGCGAAGGCGGGUCUCUGGACAGUUCCUGACACUGAGGCACGAGGGCCAGGGGAGCAAACGGG